rnacentral:lncRNA from 1 species
UUUUUUUUUAAUAAGUCACAUAAAAUAUAUUUUAACAAUUUUAUUUUCUCCUUAGGCCUCCAAGUAACUUUGAAGUUUGUUUUACACAAGCUCUCACAGAGGCUGUGGGUGAUCAGCUGCAGUCCAGGGAGAGCCCCUGCUCAACUUAACAACCCUCACUCCCACCUAGGACACUGGAGCCAAACCGGAGCUGCUUUCCUGGGCAUGCCAGCAUUGACCCUGCCAGCACUGAUUGCCUGCCUCAUAGAGUUUGGCACUUGGGCAAGUGGCUGGCCUGCAUCUUAUUUGGCAUCCACCCGUGGGAUAGGCACAAAGAUGAGGAGGAGGUAUAGAGAGAUGAUCCUAUAAUAAAUUUUCAACAAGCGCAGCAGGAUCUCCUUCAAUUGCUUCAUAUAUUUGACUUUCAGAUAAGAUACUAUUUGAAUAAAGUGUUACCUAGCUGUGAUGGUUAACUUAUU